UUAAUGGACAAUGUUAAUUGCUAGAUAUCGUAUUCUUAUUACAAAUUGAUGGAACUCAUCUAUGUUUGCAUACUUUUGUUUGCAAAAAUUUUAUUAUCAUUUAGGAUUAAAUGCAGGACCUCUUGCGAGAAGAAAAGGGUGACAACCAGGUCUCAAGUGAGAUAAGUUUUGGCUAAAUGAUCUCUGUCGAUCUUAGGAUUUGAAGGCAGC
rnacentral:lncRNA from 1 species